AGCAGUGUGGCUUAGUGGAAAAGAGCAUGGACUUGGGAGUCAGAGGUUCAUGGGUUCUACUCCCACCUCUGCCA
rnacentral:tRNA from 1 species